rnacentral:rRNA from 1 species
CAGCAGCCGCGGUAAAACGAAGGGUGCAAGCGUUAAUCGGAAUUACUGGGCGUAAAGCGUGCGUAGGCGGUGAGUUAAGUCUGCUGUGAAAUCCCCGGGCUCAACCUGGGAAUGGCAGUGGAUACUGGCUCGCUAGAGUGUGUCAGAGGAUGGUGGAAUUCUCGGUGUAGCGGUGAAAUGCGUAGAGAUCGGGAGGAACAUCAGUGGCGAAGGCGGCCAUCUGGGACAACACUGACGCUGAGGCACGAAAGCGUGGGGAGCAAACAGGAUUAGAUACCCCAGUAGUCCCUGUCUCUUAUAC